GACGAACGCUGGCGGCGUGCUUAACACAUGUAAGUCGAACGGAAAGGCCCUGCUUUUGUGGGGUGCUCGAGUGGCGAACGGGUGAGUAACACGUGAGUAACCUGCCCUUGACUUUGGGAUAACUUCAGGAAACUGGGGCUAAUACCGGAUAGGAGCUCCUGCUGCAUGGUGGGGGUUGGAAAGUUUCGGCGGUUGGGGAUGGACUCGCGGCUUAUCAGCUUGUUGGUGGGGUAGUGGCUUACCAAGGCUUUGACGGGUAGCCGGCCUGAGAGGGUGACCGGCCACAUUGGGACUGAGAUACGGCCCAGACUCCUACGGGAGGCAGCAGUGGGGAAUAUUGCACAAUGGGCGGAAGCCUGAUGCAGCAACGCCGCGUGCGGGAUGACGGCCUUCGGGUUGUAAACCGCUUUCGCCUGUGACGAAGCGUGAGUGACGGUAAUGGGUAAAGAAGCACCGGCUAACUACGU
rnacentral:rRNA from 1 species